rnacentral:rRNA from 1 species
ACUCCUACGGGAGGCAGCAGUGGGGAAUAUUGGACAAUGGGCGCAAGCCUGAUCCAGCCAUGCCGCGUGAGUGAUGAAGGCCCUAGGGUUGUAAAGCUCUUUCACCGGUGAAGAUAAUGACGGUAACCGGAGAAGAAGCCCCGGCUAACUUCGUGCCAGCAGCCGCGGUAAUACGAAGGGGGCUAGCGUUGUUCGGAUUUACUGGGCGUAAAGCGCACGUAGGCGGACUAUUAAGUCAGGGGUGAAAUCCCGGGGCUCAACCCCGGAACUGCCUUUGAUACUGGUAGUCUUGAGUUCGAGAGAGGUGAGUGGAAUUCCGAGUGUAGAGGUGAAAUUCGUAGAUAUUCGGAGGAACACCAGUGGCGAAGGCGGCUCACUGGCUCGAUACUGACGCUGAGGUGCGAAAGCGUGGGGAGCAAACAGGAUUAGAUACCCCUGUAGUCCA